GGCAGCAGACAGCCUUUUGUCCGGGACCCGGCGCCUGUCGCCUGCCUGCCGGCCACAGCCUCCACACCGCCCCGCUUCCUAAUUAGAGAGCCCCCCUCCUCUUCGCCUCUCCUCUUCUCCUCCUCCUCCUGUUCUUCUUCAUUUUCUUUUCUUUCUGCAGCGAUAAUCACAAAACUCUCAUUCUAUUACGGGGGCCAUUGUUGCCCCUCUGUUAUCUUCAAUUAACAGAGAGAGCGGCUCGACCUCGCACUCUGGGAGAAAAAAGUAUUUGUCUAAAUCAAUCAGUCAAUGAGUGAUCAAUAGGCUCCUGUGGAGGUCCCGUGGAUCAUAACUAAUGACUGCUGACGGCGUGGGGUAAAAAGGCCAAGAUUAUUCACAACUUUGUUAAAUGAUCAGUGCAGGCCUGUGUUGUUAGCGAAGCUCCGGGCCAACAGGAGAAGUUACACAUGCAGGGCAGACAAACAGCAGCUUUUCCUGUUUUCCCUGUGAACCUAAACACAUCACAGAGAGCUGACAGGUUUUUAUCUCUUUAUCUACAGGAGAUAGUUUAGAGAGAGAGGGACUCAGAUUACACGCACAAACACACGCAGACCCACUCUGCUGUCCUCAAGUUUAAGAUUUCCACUUUCCUGUUUAUUCAUUUGUUUAGUCAUCAUGAAUUUAUAAAGUUUCUCCAUUUUACUUUAAAAUGGGAUUCAAAAGAGUUAAUCAGCAAAAUUCAAAAGAAAAAAUAUUUAUUCAAGAAAAGUUUGUUGUAGGUUGUUGUAUUUGGACUUCAGUUUUUUUAUUUCCCUUUCUCAAAAAGUUUUAUUUUUACUCUCUCAAUUAUCCAAAAAGCUUAAAGCACAAACCAAGUUAAAGCCCAAAUUUACUCUAUAUGGAUAUAUAACAGGCUUAGAAUAUGAUGCAGUGAUCCCAGUAAAUGAAUUUAAGAAAGUCGAAAUUAGACUGAAUUCAAUAACUGCAACUGAUUUAUAACAUUAGAUCUUAAAUGAAUGAAAUGACUGUUAUUAGUAAACAGAUACUUUAGACUGUGAUACCGUGAAGGUCAAAUUUGUUUACUAAAUCAGCAUUUUAAUUUGGAAGAAUUUUUUAUGCACUUUUAUACAACGCAGGAACAUGUCAUAGUCAAUAAACCAUCACAUUCACCAAAUUAUCAACAAACCUGCUGACUCGUCCUACUAAAUAUGAAAUUGUUUGUAUAAAAAUGGUUCAAGUUACAUUUUGUCUUCAAAAUACAUUGUUUGAUGAAAAAAUAAUGCUGAUUUAGUUUUGUGUCAGGUAUUUAUUAUUUUUAUUCUUUUGUUGUUUUUAUGUAAAAAAAAAAAAAAAAAACUAUAAUAAAACGUGAACCUAACGCUGUGUUUUUAUGUUGUAUUGCUUUGUUCUCUCAAACCUGUUGCUCUUAUCACGAGUUGCUCACAGCACAGGAGUGAAAAUUGUACCAGGCUCCCAGAAACCUCCUCCUGAUCCCUGCAGACACUGACUGAUCUGAUCCCUGAGGGCUGACACUGAGCUGUGACGCAGCUAAGAGCCAAUACCUCCAAAAUUAACAAAAAUAUUCUUUUUACAACAUUUUAAAGAUGCAAAACACUUCACAGGACAAAAUAUAUUCUCUUUUGUCCGAUUUUAUGCCAUUAAAACUGCAGCAAAGGUCCUGUACACUCUGUGUGAAUGAAACAAGAGUAUUGGUGCUGAAUAUUGGUCUGCUGGAGCUGGGAAAGAAGCCCAGAAACCUGUGUGCAGUCUACAGAGUGUGUAUUGUUAGACUGCGCCUCUCUCUCUCUCUCUCUCUCGCUCUCUCGCUCUCUCUCCCUCCGUUCCUAUUGGCUGCCAGGCUCAGGUGCAGCCUUCACACUGGCCCAAAGUGGAGCAGGAGGGAUCCAAUCAGAAGCCAGUGAGGAGGUGGGGGAGGAGGAAACACACACAGAGCCACCAGAGCUUCUCUCUCUCUCUCUCUCUCUCUCUCUCUCUCUCUCUCUCUCACACACACACACACACACACACACACACACACACACACACACACACACAAACUCAAAUGCAAAGCAGGAUUUUGUUCAGACUCUUAAAGUGAGAAGUGUGAAAGGAAAAGUGCAAAUUCCUAUCAAUCAAUCUUUACUGUAACUAAAAACACACACUGACACACUGAAAAACACACAAACACAUACACACACAAACUAGGCAGAACACACAGGCCUGCAAAGCUGCAGCAUUAGAUGUAAGCAUGAAAAGAAUUAAAGCGAAGACAACAAAUACAAACUUUACAGAUACUUCUCUUAAAUGGGAAUAAUCGGAUUGGAUUAGACAGAUUGUCAUUGUAGAGUUUUUGAUAUAUGCAACAAGUCAUACUGCCUGUGAGGGUGAUUUUGUGAGAGAGUGUGGCUGUCCUCUGGACUUACAAUGCCCCAGCGUGCAGGCCUGUCGCCCCCUCCUGGACAGAGAGGAGGUGAUGGACUCUGGCUUGAGUCUGAAAGAGCACAGAGGAUCAGAACCCCUCUGGAGUUUAUUAUGGCACCCAUCUUUGAGAGCAUUGGUUUAAUAAAACCCAAUCUGAUAGUCAGCUUUUUAUGUCUUUGGUGUUCUUCUUUCACAGUCACAGGACUUAUACCUUCUACAUUUCAGAUAGAUUAAUGUUGGAUAAAUGGUGCAUGGAGCCUGACACUAAGACAGCGAGAAAGUCAGUCAGUCAGUCAAACCAUCAGCUUUCUUUGCUAAAAUAUGAAUCCUGUUCAAGGACUGCACUUGCAAGGUGCCAGGAUGCUACAUCAAGUGACCAUCAGUUAAUUAUCCCGUUCAUACACAGCUGGCAAUGACAAGAGAAACUGGGUGGGAUUCAGCGUCUUGCCCAAGAACACUUCAACAUGUGGACUACAGAGGCUGGAAUCAGGCCGCCAACCUUCAAACUGAGAGACAACUGACAGCCGCCUCAGAGAUCUGUUCAACAGGACCUCGGCUUUAUUUAUUUCUACUGCACAUAUUGUUGUUCUCAAUCUGCAGGCCGGUUUGUGUUAACAGUCAAACACAGGAUCUACCAAAAGAGAGAGAGGGGCAUUUUCCUCUAUUUCACACACAGAAAAGACUCAAAUCAUACAGCGUAUACUCCUCUAACUUUAAGAUAUUAAAAGGAAAAAUGUUACAUUUUGUACUUUCUUGCUUGUGUGAGUCAAAAAUCUGCGGGCAAAAUUUCUUGUUUGUAAUCAAGACAAUAUUUGAAGUAGCACCGGCUCAAAUUUUUAUCCAUUACAUUUAUGAAAUCUUUCUUUUUGUCUUGUAAUAUAUAACAAUAAGAUGUGAUAUCAGAGAAUGUCAGGGUAACAUGGCUUCUGUUAGGUGUAAUUAGAUAUUCUUACCAUAAAUAAGACAAAUACACCCUGUGAGAUGUGAGUUUUUGUUGUGCAUCUGUGCUUUUAUCUCCACUAAAUUACAUUAAACAUUUUAAAAAAAAAUGGUCUUUUCAUGUGCAAAUAAGGACUUUUUAAAUAAGCUAAAGCUUGUCUGGCCCAGUCAAAGUCCUAUUCAAGUGAGAGUUUCAUCCUGAAAGAAAUCAUACUUCUUUUUAUAUAACCUUUUUUUUCCUUUUUACAUUAAGCCCGUGUUAAAUGUUCUCAUAUAAUAGUUUUACAGCCCUUUUCUCUUUUAUUUUUGAAGUUUUAUAGUGCAUCAAUUUUAAGACUUUGAGUUUAUGGACUUAUUGCUCCUAUUAUUCUGUUUUUCAGGACUCCUUAAAUCUGGUUUGGUCCCAGGACAAAUAACCACUAGGUGGCACACUUACUUACUUGACAAGUAAGUAAGUAAAUGCUGACUGUAUCAGUGUCUUCACAGGCCUCACUAAAGCAUCAGUUGGACAACAGCAGCUGAUUUAAACAAUUAAAAACAGUUUUUACUAAGACUGAGAACCUCUAUUGUUUCACUGGCUCCCUGUGUUUUCAGAGGGUAGAGUUAAAGUUACAGCUGCUGAUCUGCAAAGCACUGAAUGAUGAUGGUGAUCCUGUCAUACAGGAUGAAAACUAACACUGCUCAUUUGGUCUGAUACAGGUCUGCUGACUUUCCCCAGAAUUAUAGCCAAACAUGGAGAAGCUUCGUUGAGUUUUUCUGCUCCAAACAGCCGGAACAAACUCCCAGAAUGCAUCAGGUCCACUGAAUCCUUCAGUUCUUUGAAAUCCAGACCGAGGUCUCUGUCAGUACCUGUGUAUCUUCAUUACACAACACUCUCAUAUUUAGAGCCUCUUUUUCUCUGCUGUUUUUUUAAUCUCCUCUUUGAUUUCUAACCCAUUGGUUCCUCUUUAUCAGAGUUUCUUCUGCUCUUUUGAUCACGAUGUUCAAAUGUCUUGUGUAAAUCUCUAAUGCCAUUUUUAUGACAUGCGCUCUAGAAAGAGGCUUGCCAAGCCUGAUCCUUAAAACACCAUCAAAUACUGUUGAGUUGUGGUUUAUGUGAUGUAACUUCAUGAUGAGCCUUAAGGACUGGACUGAAUAAAAGCAUCUGAGGUCAAAGAAGAAGAAGAAGAAUUUUCAGGACAACUGUGAAGAAACCUGCACAUCGUUUACACAGAGCAUUGAUACGAGAUGAAAAACUAUCAUUUUCCUGCUGGUCUCCAUUUCACCAUCAUGUUAUAAAUGUUACACUGAGGCUUUCACAGCGUGCUUUUGAUGCCUCCUGAGGCUCAUUGCCCUUCUCUCUGGCAGGAAAAUCUUCAUGCAUGGAGGAGGAACUUUUUUCAAUUUAAGGAUCAGUUUUCUUGAAAUCUAGAAGCGUGCAUGAGAAGCUGAUUUGAGGCUCUUCUAGUCUUGCCUUACUUGUUGCUAAAGCAAACAUGCAAAGUAGCUUCUAGUGAAUUUUACAGACCUUUAACCCUCCCCCCAAACAUCCAGUCCAAUCUGCUUUGUUUGUAGAGCCCAUUUUUACUAACAUUAAUGACUGCGCAGUAUGAUAACAAAGCAGAGAUAAAUAGAGGGUAAAACAGAAAGAUAAAAGCACCAUAAACUAAACAAAAACAUAUGAGACACAUAAAAGUAAUGAAAUCACAUAAAAAUAAAGUUUAAAGACUAAAACAAUUACAGGGAUCGCUCAACUCUCAUAGUGGGUUUAAAUCCAUGACAGAAAAUAAAGUUUCAAGAUAAUAUUUUAAAGUUGUUAUACUGGAGGAGUUUUUUUGUUCACAAGAAGCAGCUGAUCUGCAGAGCUCAAACACAAACCCUAAAGAAGUGCAGACUCAGAGCUCAGAGGUGUACUGAGGUGCUAAUCCAUUUAAAGAUCUUAAAACAAACAAUAAAGUCUUGAAAUGAACCCAAAAAUGAACAAGAGGGGCCAGUGGAGAGAAUCAAGCAUGGGGGAAGCAUGUGCUCCAUGUGCUGCAAACAGCAGGAUGGACGUAUAUUCAAGACUCUUAAAGCUCCUGUGAGGAACUUUCAGCCCCUUUAAUCAUUGCAGUCUUUGUCUAAAAAACUGUCCUUCUGACAAAAAAAUCUCAUCCUGCUGACUUGCGACAGUCAGUCGUCUAUUUAUUUUGAAUGACAAGUGUUAAAAACCAGGGCUGUUUCUCCAGCUGCUUGUCUGACUCCUACCCUCUCACUCUAGUCUCAGCAAUUAAAUUAUAUAAUUGAAAAAUAGUAAAUCUUGAUGCUGAUGGUCGUGUUUGCCUUUGUAUAAUACGAGGAAGCAUAAAUAUGAAUUUCAAUCUGUUUCAUAAAUGUAAAAAAUUAGAAAUAAAAAUUUUACACAGGAGCUUUAAAAUGCCACAAUAUUUUUAUUCUGUGUUUAAAGUCAUUUUGCUGCUUUAAAAACUUUUUUGUGUGUAGUUGGAUGUUUUGUUUUUGCACUGAACUGUCUUCGGCCCACUUUCACACAGAUUUCCUUCCACAGAGUCAUGUUGACUGAAGAUCAUCCAAGGUUUGUGGUUAAAGGUCAGGGUGCGUCCCAUAACAUGAUUAGAUUUUACGUGGAGCUGCAGCAUUUUGCACUGAAUGAAAUGUUGGGAUAAAAUACGAUUCUUUCACAGGGAGGUAUGAAGAUGUGUAAGUCUUUUUAAAAUCCCUGAUGAAAAGCCAUUUUAAUCUGUCUUUUUUGAUUCUUUUCUGAGGCUAUCUCUAUCUUGAGAUGAGUCCUGCUGCAUGUUGUCUUAUAUAAUUGUGUUUUUCUUACAUUACACGGAGUACGUGUCAGGACUUAAAGUGAGAAAUUUCCUUGCCUAAUAUCAGUCAGAAAAUAAUGCAACUCUGCUCUUUUUUCUGUAGAUGACAUGCUGGAUAGGUAGUAGUUGAACCCCGCUGCAUUACUGCCCCUUUGCACGCACCCCUGUUUGUUCUCGAGCGUACAUUCGUGCAGUAUGGUUUGGAAUAAAUUCAACAUGUACGAGCUUCAUGUGAAGAGUGUGUGUCAUGACACAUCCUCUGCAGUGACCUGCUGCUGCUGCAGAGACAAAUUACAAACUGAAAAAUGUCGAACAUGAAAGCCAUAAAUCAGAGCAGAGCCAAACAGUGCGGGCGGCUAAUGAAGAGGCUGGAUGGGGUGAAGCUGAAGACCUCUAUCUUUUCAUUCAUUACAGCUGAAGGAAACAGCAGAAGCUCGUGUGGAAACAGACGCUUUUCACAGUCCUAGAUCAAACAGAGACAAGACUACGAGCUCAGAUCACAAAGUGUGAGCCCGCUGCACAGCUAGGGCCUGAGUGAAAGUGGGCUUUUGAUCAUCCACGAGUCCUUGUUUAAAGAAGAACUAUGUGGGAUCUGAGCGUCUGACCCCGCAGAGAUCAUUCGCUGUGAUGGCACUAAGAGGCCUGAACUUCACACACUGAGUUUGACACGGAGAUGAACACAGCAGAUUAGCAAAGACUAACAGUCUCUAUCAUGAUGAACGGAUGACAGGGCUGAGAAAAGACGCUGAGACUAAACCGCCGGCUCUUCUAAAAACAUACAAACCUCCUGCCUGACACUCCUCUGAGCUCAGACACAUGUAAAACACAGCCUCGCCUGCUCAGAUAAACUGUGAGCGGCUCAGCAGACAGCGGUGUACUCAGGCUGGAGUUUGACUAAUGCUACUUCUUCCAGAGGAACAAAGAGAGUGUACAGUGGUUUCAAGUGCUGUUUACCACUAAAUGACAUCUGAAAACAUACUGAUUUGUGCAUUUUAUUCACUGUGCUGCAGCGACCUAAAGGAUGCAGAGGAUAAUGCUGCUACUUUGUAAACUCGUGCAAAAAUCCUAAACAAAUUGGCUGAGACAUGCUACAAAUGAGAGCAAUAGAAAACAAAACAAAAAAAAGCCAAAACAGCUUCUUUAACACCAAACAUGAUGCAAAUACAUCAGUCAUGCACCUCAGAAAACACUUAAUUUGCUGCAACCACAACAACAGACAUGCUCCAGACCUCUAGGGGGCGCUCAGUUGAAUGCUUUGUAAUGGUUUAUCAUUGACAGGAGAGUGAGGAAGAUAAGGAGGAGAUAUUAUUUUUUUGACAUAAACUUAAAAACAUGAUGUACCUAUUUGCAAAAACUAAUCAGGUUGCCACAUUGGUAGCCAUUUACUUUCAAUGAAUCCUCAUUUUUGACAGAGUAUGAACAGGACGAGUUCAUACUGGUGGGUGUUUUACAGAACAGCCUCUGCCACCAGCAUGUGAAUGUGGUGUGUGAAGGAGUGAAUGUGUGUGAUGUUUAAGUGCUUUGAGCGGUCAGAUGACUAGAUUAAGUGCCAUAUAAACACAGUCCAAUUACUUAAACAGAGUCUACAAUAGCUGACAAAAUGACCGCUGGUGUAAUUAACAAUAACUCUCCGCUGUAAUCGAUUCUUUCCAGCAUAAUUAGCUCCUUUGUUUUAUACUGUAGGGCAGCCAAUGAGCAUGCAGAGUGAUUUUGCCUCCAGGAUUGUAGAAAAUCAAUGGAGACCAGAAAUCUACUCUUAAAUAUCAGAUUAUUGCAUGUCGUAUGUUGUAAACUUUCGCACUAAAUUUAAAACAUAUAAGCUUUUUAAACAUUUUGUAUUUCAAAUGGAUCUUUAAGGCUUUCACUCAGUGUCCGUCUGUCUUUCUUCUUGUGCAGAGUGGUAGGGCGGCACCUCACUGUCCUCAGUUGUCCUCUACAGCCCCUGUAUUCAAAUCUUAUAUAUUUUUGCAUAAAGUUUGAGCCUCUUUGAAAUUAAAUUCAAAUGAUUCUACUUUUGCAACAUCCGUAACUGGAGACUAAAGAUCCUGGAGAAAAUUUUACCUGGUUAUGAAAAAGGCUUAAGUCAUGCUGAUAUCCUCGUGUGACCUGAAAGAGUCAACAAGAAUAUCAGCCACAACAAUAUAACUUACUUGAUAGUUAUUUCUGAUGCAUGUUACCAAAACCAAAAUUGAAAAUCACAUAAAUGUACAAACAGUAUGUGCAGAAAUAAAUCUCAUAUUGACAUCAUCAUCUAAGGAUAUGUCUCCUAUGAAUCCAAUACUCCAAAGGUCUCUCUCCUCCGUGCAAACAAAGGUCAAGAACAAGAGGAAAAACUCUUAUAAACUCUUCAGUUUUUCAGACGACUGCUGACGACUCACUCGCACCUAAUAAAAACAGAGACAAAGUAAAGUGAAGGAAGACAAAUGGGCGUCCCGCUUUUAUCGCCUGCUGCAAAGCACAGCUGAGAGGACAGGGAUGUAAACUAGGAAUCCCUGAGAUCCAUUUAAUGAGCUGAAUCAAAGCAUGCAAAAAGACUAGAGACGACUUCGUCUGUGUCUGUGUCUUCUGUUUUUUUAUGAGUUUGUCACAGAACAGGGACUGUGGUGCUCUGUGUUUGGUUCAGCAGUGUGAUAUGGACAAAGCCAAACGACAGAGGGAGUCUCAGCAACACCGUCUGACUUCUCUGAGCUUGACUUCUCAGACCAGAAAACAGAAAAGUACAACUUUUACCCAAGCAGAAGAACACUUCCAUAGUCUUUUUAAUGUUUAAUGUGAGCUUAUUUUUAUGAAGCCACUCACAUACCCCAAUCAUGUAUAAUUGUAGCCUCUCAGCUGCUUUAUCUGGCGUGUUAGAAUAUAAAACAGUAUCAUCAGCAUAAAGCUGUCAAAAGGCCCUGUACAACUUUCAGGCAGAUCAUCUGUAAAAAAAAAAAACAAAUAUCAGUGGACCUAGCAUUGAGCCUUGGGGAAUACCUCUUUUAUUUUGUAAUUGAGCAGAUCUUUUUGAGUCGAUCUGCACACUGCUUCCUUGACUAGAGAUAAGAGGCAAACUCAACUAAAAGUUUAUCAUUCUGAGCAAACUAUAAGAUUGUGUGUUUUCAGACAAAAGACUGGAUUGUCUUAUUUCACAGUUUAUGGACAGUAUGAACUACGGACAUCCAAGUUUGUGUGCAAAAAUACCUAAAAAGAGGGUUUUUCAUCAUAUGUCCCCAUCAAAAUCCUGUUCAUAAUCUUUCAAUUCUCUCAACGCAUUGACAACUUUCAAUCUUCUUCACCAAAAUAUAAAAAGUGAAAAAAAAAGACUGCGCACCCUUAUUCUAGGUGAAGAAAAACAAAAUUGUAAUUUAAAUGAUCACAUAAUAAUCUAAAUAUACAGAAAUGUUUGAUUCCUUUUCUACCAAGUCUGUAAAAUGCUGCUAUAUCCUACACACUGCUAGCUUGGCAUCACUGGACCAACACAGCCUGAUGAAUUAAUCAAGAACUGUUCAAUUUGUUAACAUUUUCAAGGGGCCUUAAACAAUGGCAGAAUGGUAUAGAGCUUCUGAAAUUGGAUACACAGACAAACCACUAGUCAGAUUAAUGCAGCAUGUGUUGUACGGCAAACCAACAGAAAUGGAAACACUCAGCUGGAUGCAGAGUGAAGAAAUACAAAACUACCACAGCAAAAAGUAUGUCGAUUUUAUAGAUAUCAGAAAGUCAGAUAUGAAAAUUCAAGCACAAUUUUACAACUGUUUUUUCUUUUGAAUUAAAAUGUGGAGAGUCAUUUGACCAAUUCAGUAUAAUUCAAAGUCCCUGAGCUAACCUGUUGAACAUUUCAGACUGUAAGUUUUGUAACUUCUCUUCUAACUGACUGAAGUUUCAUAAUUUAGAGUCAGCCAUCUUUAAUCUGCAACUGGAAACCACCUCCAGAUAGUGUCCAAAUAUAUAAGAGUGAAAAGACCUUUCUGCAGAGGAACCCCUCAAAUCCAAACUCUGAGGUUUCCUGCGUGAUGAUAUUGGGAGAAGGAAGAACAGAAUCAGGGGUUUUCCCUCCUGGGAGGUCUGAGCAACAACUUCCAGCAUGCUGGGCUCAGGUCUGUCAAGUCUCUAGGAUAACCAGGUCCCAUGUCUACCGGGUCACAUGUUCAGGGAUCAGAGGAACCCGGAGGAGACAGAGUGUUUCUGAGAGUGUAAGUAAGACUAUGGGUUUGACCAGAUGGUGAACCGAGCAGCACAUGAUGCCCACAUACCGCUGACCUGGCAGCCACUAAAGUCCCACUGGAAUCACCAAUUGACCCUGACACUAAUAUCAUCAAGCUGCGCUCCAAAUUAAACGGUCACUGCAAACAUGGCUGCCACUUCAAAGAGUCUGGGGGCUUACUGCUGGAAAACAAAAGGCAUGACACUGUUUAAAUACAAGCAGUAAGGAACCACUGGGAUGGAAGAGGGGUGUUAGUGAAGCUGCAUUAGCCUGCUAUUGGACAAGUUCAACCAAAAAAACUUUCACACUCUCAAAUACUCAAAAGCACGGCUUUGAAACAGAGGACCGCACAUUCACCACAGUGUCUGCUUCUCUACACGGGUUUCAUGUUAGUUUUAAAUGAAUUUCAGGGAUCACUUUUGAAACAUGUCCGCAGCUACAUGGUAUAACUGUUUACACCCUAACAGCCAGCCUGAAACCUUAAAU